GAACGCUAGCGGCAGGCUUAACACAUGCAAGUCGAGGGGCAGCAUGAUGAAACUUUCGGGUUUCAUUGAUGGCGACCGGCGCAAGGGUGCGUAACGCGUGAGCAACUUGCCCUUAUCAGGGGGAUAACCGGUGGAAACGCCGACUAAUACCCCAUAGUAUCAACUUUAGGCAUCUUUAGUUGAUUAAAGAAUUUCGGAUAAGGAUAGGCUCGCGUGACAUUAGCUAGAUGGCGGGGUAACGGCCCACCAUGGCGACGAUGUCUAGGGGUUCUGAGAGGAAGGUCCCCCACACUGGAACUGAGACACGGUCCAGACUCCUACGGGAGGCAGCAGUGAGGAAUAUUGGUCAAUGGCCGAGAGGCUGAACCAGCCAUGCCGCGUGAAGGUCACGGCCCUAUGGGUCUUAAACUUCUUUUGUAAGGGAGCAAUAAGGUCUACGUGUAGACUGAUGAGAGUACCUUACGAAUAAGCAUCGGCUAACUCCGUG
rnacentral:rRNA from 1 species